rnacentral:rRNA from 1 species
UACGUAGGUGGCAAGCGUUGUCCGGAUUUAUUGGGCGUAAAGGGCGCGCAGGUGGUGCGGUAAGACUGCCGUGAAAUCUCCUGGCUCAACUGGGAGGGUGCGGUGGAGACUGCCGGACUAGAGGCACUCAGAGGCCGGUGGAAUUCCCGGUGUAGUGGUGAAAUGCGUAGAGAUCGGGAGGAACACCAGUGGCGAAGGCGGCCGGCUGGGGGUGACCUGACGCUGAGGCGCGAAAGCGUGGGGAGCGAACCGG